rnacentral:tRNA from 1 species
GGCGACGUCGCCAAGUGGUAAGGCAAGGGUCUGCAAAACCCUUAUUCAUGGGUUCAAAUCCCAUCGUCGCCU